rnacentral:rRNA from 1 species
GAUGAACGCUGGCGGCGUGCUUAACACAUGCAAGUCGAGCGAAGCAAUUUAAGUGAAGUUUUCGGAUGGAUCUUAAAUUGACUGAGCGGCGGACGGGUGAGUAACGCGUGGAUAACCUGCCUCACACAGGGGGAUAACAGUUAGAAAUGACUGCUAAUACCGCAUAAGCGCACAGUACCGCAUGGUAUAGUGUGAAAAACUCCGGUGGUGUGAGAUGGAUCCGCGUCUGAUUAGGUAGUUGGUGAGGUAACGGCCCACCAAGCCGACGAUCAGUAGCCGACCUGAGAGGGUGACCGGCACAUUGGGACUGAGACAGG